rnacentral:lncRNA from 1 species
AAAAAAAUAUUUUAUGUGUUCUCAAGGGAAAACAAAAACACAUGAAAACGAACCUAUUAUCAAAUAAACACAUAAUUAUUUAUACCAUUCUACUUCUUUUAAGGUUACCCUUGCAUUGUCAGUCUUAUCAAACUUGCAUGUACCUCCCAAAUUUGGAUUCUGUUCUCCAACUUCAGUUUGCCUCUACCAAUGUUAUGAAACUAAUACACAAUUAAUGCAUAUAUAUAUAUAUAUGAUACUACAAACAAACAAACAUGAAGUUUGAAUUUUUGGUGGGGUCGCUUUUACUGUUCUAGAGAUAUGCCCCUUUACAAAAUUUAAAAAAAU